rnacentral:SRP_RNA from 1 species
GCUGGGCACGGUGGCUCAUGCCUGUAAUCCCAACACUGGGAGGCUGAGGCAGGUGAAUCACUUGAGGUCAGGAUUUCGAGACCAGCCUGGCCAACAUGGUGAAACCCUGUCUCUA